rnacentral:lncRNA from 1 species
CAACACUGUGGAUAUCACAUCUCAUCUCAUUGGUCCGCUCAAAUUGGCAUUAGACCAAUCAGCUGUGACCUGAGUAAAGUUGUGCUGUGGCGGAGAUCUUCGUGGGCUGUACUCGACCUUGUCUCAGGAUGGACCUGAGCCGUAGGACCAUGCCUCAGGACUACCUGGCAUGAUGACUCCUUGCUGUCCCCAGUCCCCCUGGCCGUGCUGCUGCUCCAGUUUCAACUGUUCUGCCUGCGGCUAUGGAACCCUGUCCUGUUCACAGGACGUGCUACCUGUCCCAGACCUGCUGUUUUCAACUCUCUAGAGACAGCAGGAGCGGUAGAGAUACUCUCAAUGAUCGGCUAUGAAAAGCCAACUGACAUUUACUCCUGAGAUGCUGACCUGUUGCACCCUCUAC